UCAAUAAUUUUACUCCGAAAAAAUGAUACCAAAGUUGCCAGUCAUUCAUAAGUUUUAAUAGCCAUUAUUCAUCAAAAAAUCAUAAACUGAAAUUUUCUUUGUUCAGAUAUUAAAAAUGGAUUUGAAAAAAAUUUUAUGAUAUUUGCUCUAGUAAAUUAUUUUCAGUAGCAGCAUAAUAAAAGUCAAAUCUAACAAACUGAUAUAAAGUCGAGAUGUGAAUUUUUAAAAUUGCCCAAAUUACGAUACUAAGAUUCAAUUCAAUACGAACAAAAAAAAACCGUAUUAUUUUUUAUAAAAAAUUUAGCGCUUGCGUGUUAAAGUCAGGCACGAUUUUUCUUUUAGUUUAAAAUCCCAGUUGAGACUUCGAUCCGAGGCCGAGAGAGCUCUGCGUGGGAGACCUGUCGCUCCUUUCUCUCCCUUGCAGUCUUUCUCUCUUUUUUUCAUUUUCUUACUCUUUCUUUCGGUAUUCGCUUACUCUUUUUCCCCCUUCUCUUUAUUCACUUCUCAAUCUGGUGCAAGAACACCCAAAGACGCCGACUUCUUCCGCUUCCGAGACGCGACUGUUAGAACUUGCAGCAGAUUCAAUGCUGCAGAGCUCACGUUUGCUGGAAGAAUGAGGUGUCAAGGGAAUGCACGAGCUAUGUGUCAAUCCAUGGUUGAAAAUACACCGACGGAUAAAUAAAUGAGACUUGGCUAGUGGAAGAGGAAGGGUAAUAGAGAAGAGUGAUGGAAAAAAACGAUCGAAUAAACUGAAGAAUUUCAACAUCAAUUUGGCUGUCAUUAUUUUCACAUGAUGGUGAGUACGAAUUCCAUUUUAAUAUCAUCUAAUUGAGAUGCAUUUAUAUUUACAAUACCACCUUGCGUACAAUCGGUGAAAUAUAAACAUUUCCAACUACACUCAUACAUUUAGCACAAAGCAGAUAACAAUAUAACAUUAUCUACGAAAUCACGAUACCACCAUCAAAUAUACUGCCUAAAAUCUACAGAGAUCGUUGGUAAAUAUGUAAAUAUGUAUAAAAUAACAAACGAUUUUGGUUUCGUUUCUCUUUAUAUAACGAAUGUCGUGGUUUUUAUGAUCACGUCUCUGUUGAGUCGGUAAACCAACACGUGAAUUGUGUGUGACCCUUUUUCUCUUCCCUUCAUGUGUGCGUUAGACACUCCAUAUAGGGGCAGUUUGUAUGAUGAAAAUAAUAACUGUUCAACGAUCUCAUUGUCAUUCCAUCAGAAACAACCUAUCUAACGCUUAAUAUAUCUGUCAAAUUUACACUUCAAUAAUUAUUAACACUUUGUACAAUUUUUUCACUAUCAUUUAACAACGAUUUCAUGGCCUUGUACAAUUC